ACUACGGGAGGCAGCAGUAGGGAAUCUUGCGCAAUGGACGAAAGCCUGACGCAGCAACGCCGCGUGAAUGAGACGCCCUUCGGGGUCUAAAAAUCUUUCAGUGGGGACAAAAAAUGAAGGUAACCACCUAGGCAGCACCGGCUAACGCCGUACCAGCAGCCGCGGUAAUACGAAGGGUGCAAGAGUUGUGGGGAAUCAUUGGGCGUAAAGAGGUCGUGGGCGGUAUGUAAAGUCAUGUGUGAAAGGCGCAGGCUCAACCGGUGUAGGGCACUUGAUACUUUCAACCUUGAAUGCAGUAGAGGGAAAGGGAAUUCCUGGUGGAGCGGUGAAAUGCUUAGAUAUCAGGAGGAACAUCAGUGGCGUAGGCGCCUUACUGGUCCGUAAUUGACGCUGAGGAACGAAAGCCAGGGUAGCAAAUGGGAUUAGAUACCCGAGUAGUG
rnacentral:rRNA from 1 species